UGGGGAGUAGCCAAGCGGUAAGGCAGCGGACUUUGACUCCGCGAUGCGUAGGUUCGAUCCCUACCUCCCCAG
rnacentral:tRNA from 1 species